GACAUGCAGUGACAUGGAGACUGCAUGCUCAGCCUGGCCUCGUUGAAGGAGUGCCUUGUAUUGCACUGAGACACAGCACCUGCACUGCAAGAGCAGCACUGAUGCAACUCACAGUCUGCCAGCACGUCAGCUGAAAAAGAGCUCUGCAGAAGUGGGAUCAUGUGAAAUUAAUACUUCCAAACAAAAAUGCAACAAUACCAAUAUCCCAGUUCUGAAGAUAAGUUCAUUCAACACCAAAUCAAAGCCUGGAAGUAGCAGCAAGCUAACUAGCUGUGUACAGAAGCCCUGCAAAAACGCAUCCAUCCAUCUUGUUGACAGAAGGGGCUCACACACACAAACUGCUUCCGCAUGAGAAUGGGAAGACAGCACAUGUUGCUCUGUACAACAGCAUACAGGGACCAGAAAUUGAUGGCAUGCAGCUGUGGGGGCAAAAUCUCUUCUCAGC
rnacentral:lncRNA from 1 species